UACGUAGGCAGCAAGCGUUGUUCGGAGUUACUGGGCGUAAAGGGUGCGUAGGCGGCCCUGUAAGUAUGGUGUGAAAGCCCGGGGCUCAACCCCGGGUCGGCCGUGGCAACUGCUGGGCUGGAGCACAGUAGAGGCGGGUGGAAUUCCGGGUGUAGCGGUGGAAUGCGUAGAGAUCCGGAAGAACACCGGUGGCGAAGGCGGCCCGCUGGGCUGUUGCUGACGCUGAGGCGCGACAGCGUGGGGAGCAAACAGG
rnacentral:rRNA from 1 species